UCUGAGAUUACCAGUGUAGACACAACACAUGGCCCCAGUCAUUACUUCUGAGGGGGCUCGAACAUGAUGUGGGCCUGAGCAACAAAACAGAAGAAUGUGUAAAAAGCUCCCUAAAAUAUAACUUAGAUUUUUUUUUCCCACAAAGCACUCAACAGGCUUCUCCUUCUGUUACGAAUGGGUCUUUUAGGCAGCAGAGUCCACACUGCCGACUUGAAGGGAUGCGGGAUUUUAGUUCCUGUUUGUAUUCAGCUGUGCUGACUUAAGGACACCGAAAUGCAGGCAACCAUAGAGGUCGGUCACUCACUAUCUGAACCGUACGGUAAGAACUCGGAGACACUUUCGGACGGAGUCCCGGCUCUCUGCUCUCCUACUGCUGGCUCAGAAUCCAACUUAACGCAAGGAACACGGGAUGCUUUCCUAUGUCCAACACUAUGGGUCAACGCCUGCAUCUGUGGUCUGGAAGGGAACGGAUGUGAAGGGCCAGCUGCACUGGUAAUGAUAACGACUUUGUAGUCUUCCAUUGGAUAAUUUGAUAAUCUACCUCAAACUCCUCCAAAAGCUUAAAAAGUAUCAAGUCAGACUUAACUGCAAAGUUUAAUAACCCGCGUAAUUAAUUGAGUGUAUGAUCCGACAACUGCUUAAAUUCCUUAAAACAAGGAACAUGUGAAACAUACAGUGAGUUGAGUGACUCUGUAUCAGUCUGUGGGUUGCCAACCCGCACAGGUGACCGUGGCCCACAGGGCUCCGAGGCCUGGGCAGGUAGGUGAUCCACUUGCUGAGUAAGUGUGACAGAAGCAAUCUGACUGCUCCAUUUGUGAGCAUAAUCGGGCUAGAAUCUAAAAACAGAGCUAUGCAACUUCUUGAUCAAUGCUAACUUCUGUGCUUGCGAAUCCUCGUUGUCAACUUGUCACGCUGGGGAAGAGGGACUCUCCCUUGAGAAACUGCCUCCUUCAGAAUGGCCUGAGAGUGUGUCUCAGGGGCAUUUUGUUGGUUGCUAAUUGAUGGAGAAGGGUCUUGGCCACCAUGAGCAUGCUGCCCGCCCUGCCUAGCCCCAGGGAGGGCAGGUAGUUCUCAGUUACAGAAGAAGGCUAGCUGAGUACAUAUGUCCAGCUAGCCUGUAAGCGGCGUCAUUCCUCCGGGGAUUCUCCUCAGGUUCCUGCCUUUAGUUUCUGCCGUGGCUUCCCUCAAUGAUGGACUAUAAGAUGAUAUAAACUCUUCCCUCCCUAAUCUAGAACAACUUGUGAGAAAUUCCAACAUAUAACAUCAAAUUAGCAAAAAAAAAAAAAGGCACAAUUUUCAAGUUAACUUGAUAAUCUAAUUCAAUAUAUUGGUACUUUCAACACAUUCAAAUUUGGUCAUGCAUUAAGUGAGUGGUUUUAAAAUUAUAGUUAGAAAGGUGUUUUAAGGUACUAAGGCGAAAUGCAAAUUAAAUAUUUACAGAGCCUUUCAAAUCCAGGGAACUAAAACGGACCAGAGGUUGAAGGCCGUUGGUUUAGUAAGCACUUUAAAGUUAAAAUACAAUUUUUUAAAGAAGAACCAUUGGUGUAACCCUACAUGAGGAUCAUCAGGUUAGGCCCAAACAUCAGCCAAGAGGAGUGACCGUUUCUCCUUGCCACAGAAGCAGAGAAUCUGAGAAAUGAAGCUCCAGACAGCAUCUGGAGAACCUCUAAAUGACAGACCGAGAGGAGCUGGGCCCGACAGCUGAGAUACAUAGUCUCAUCUCAGUGUUUCUCAUUGGUUAAUUCUUCAACAAUCCGUUCACUCUUCAUACACCGAGGCGCACUCUGAGAAACCUGGGACGCGUCCUAGAAGGAAAAGACAAAGCUCCUAUCUUUAUGGACAGGCGGAGGACAGACUAUCUGCGGACAGACAAUGAACACAGAUAAAGCUCACAAUGGCUAAUUGCUUCUUCGCUGUAAGGCAACAAGAGCAAUGGAAAGCUGGAGUGAGAAGAACUGCAAGUGUGCAGGACAUGGCUGUCGUUUCAGAGGCUAACCAGGGUGGGCCUCCUUGAGGAGGCACAAGAUGGAGUAUUACAGCUCUGAGCCACAGACUUCAGGAUGAGAGAAUUUCAAAACUUGGGAGCAGAGUUAAUUUCAAAAAGCUUAGCUCAAGAAAAAUCACAAGAAGCAGGCCUACACUACAGCCCGGUUCUCUGAUCCAAGACACCAGUAUAGUGAGACAACUAGACAUCAACAUUUGCACAAAGAAAAAAAUGUCAAACUCUUCACCCCUUUUCUGGGGUCUCCCAAAAAUGUUUUGUUGUUGUUGUUGUGAAAUCUGAUUUAAACAGCCACCUCUACUCCUUAUUAUUUGCCAAAUUCAAACUCCAGCUAGAUGGCUACAAUACUCCACUUUCUACCCCAGCCUUCACCACAAAUUCCACCUCUAUUCAACGUCUAAUCCGUCUCUCCAUUUAAAAGCUUCCAAUUCAAAUCCACCUAAGGCCAUAAGGAUUUCUAAGCUAACCAAGGGCAUCUGUAAGAGACUCAAAUUUAUUCUCUGCUUUAGUAUGUUUUCCCAAUGCAACUGUAUUUUCCAACUGGUCAUGUUAACUAGAAUGUGCUAACCUCUAAGGCUAAAAUGACUUAUUUAUUUCUUACAUUGUUUUCCAACUCUUGACCAUUCUGUUACCUGUAAGAUAGUAUCAACUUCUGAGCAACGCUACAUGACAGCUGUUGCCAUUCAGUGGUGAAUAUGAUGAUCGAAUAUUUGUGGGAAAGAACCACCAAUCAUAGGGGAGAGUGUUUACUUUGUCCUUAGAAGAAAAGUAACAAUGUUUUAAGGGUAAAACAAUUGAAAAGGAAAUGCAGGACAUAGGGAGUAGAUACUUCUCAUAGGAGAGUCAAACGGGGCUCAUGUUAUCACUGAGUGUCCUUGGGGGAGGACCCACUGUUUGACAUCUUUGAGUCAGAGCUCAGAGGUAGGUAGUGAAAUGAUCUAAUUAAGCCCAAAGUAAGCAUGCUGGCUAAAAUGCAAGGGAGGGAUGGUGGUGAUACUCCAUUGGAGUGCAAAGUAAGGUCUGUCCAUUGAGGAACUCCAGUGUCUCCUCGGGUUCAAAUAGCAAAACUCUCAUGCCAAAUUCUCAAACCAUCGCAUCAAACUUGGCUCAGAGGAAUCACCUGGAGAUCUUAAAGCACCUGCUGCCUAGGUCACAUCCCACACUAAAAUUUCAGGGUGUCUGAAGUGAAAGUGGCUUUUAGGGUCACAUAGGUAGUUCCAAUGUGCACCCAGGCUCUGGGAUGGUGUCUCUGGCUAUCACGGUUCAGGCUUAGCUCGCAGGGGAGAGAGCGGGAUGAUUUAUGUUGAGGUUAGCUGAGCAUGAUCUGCAAAAAUCACGUUGACCGGCGAAGCUUAACUUGGAGACUGGGAAGUGGGAAAUCACUAUAUUGGCUUGGAAAAAAAUAAAUCUCUUCUCAUCUUUAUAAUCUGGUGUUGCCAGAUCUUUCAAAGGCCUUCAAGUGAACUCAUGGCUUGGAGACUUGCAUGGGGCAAGGAAACUAUGUGUGAUGGUAGCUAUGGGCCCUGCAAACAAGAACAUCCGGAUUGUCACUCCUGAAGUAAGAAAGCAGUCACCAGCCUCUCGCUGGCUGACAGUCCACAGCCAACUGUGCCUCCACAGAACCUGCCUCUCAGUAAUGGUUCUGGGGGCUGGUCUGUAAACCCGGACCACACAGCAACUUCUUAGAUUCUGUCCAGGCUGAGGAGGGGCUACUAGUCACCAUCUGUCUGAAACUGUCCAAGCGGUUAACUGUUCUAUCAUACAGUGGCAGCAGGCCGAUGCACCGUUACUGGCCAUCUUCAGUGUGGACUUUAUCCUGACCUUAGCACACAGCAACCUGGGUUCGAAAUCAUACUGUAAAAACCUGAAGUGUGAUGGGGGUGGGAAAAAUUUUUUCGUUCUCUCAUUUAAUGAUCAGGAGGCCCCACCAACCACGACAGACAGUUCUGCCAAUUUGGGGAUGGACGCACAGGCCAACAGGCAAAGGGAAUGUGGACACUUGGCUAUGCCUACAAGGUGAUGAAUAAUACCGCCAGAACCAAAGGCAACUCAACCCCUUUAUUGUCUAGGGGGCACCCAGGAGGAACUGGAUUGUGUUCAAGAUCACACUGUCCCUGGCAGGAGUCUGGCUGAGAAUUAGAACGCUCCCUCUUCCACAUGGCCCCAGUCCUUGGGUGAGGUCACACUCAGUGACACAAGACUAUCCCAAGAUGCAGUCCUCAGGGGUAAGGACCAUGUGAGGAGGGAGGCAAGCGUUGGGGCUUUGUUCUCAACAGAGUCCGGCCAUGGUCUGCCCAAGUCCUCUGAAUAAUUCCUCACCCAGCAGAGUAUGGCUUUUUCAGCUGGGCCUCAACGGCUUUGUGGCCAAACUGGUUGCUUAAAGAUGUUCAGCCCCAUUUCUGUAAUACAAUUAUCAAAGGGUCUAAUUUCUCAAUCUUUCAUGACCUAUAACCUCUUCACAGAUACAUAGACACUCACAUAUAUAUUUUUUUUUAUCCAAUGGCCAAGGACAGGAAAUCCUAUCUUUCAGCUACUGAGUCUCAGGCAUUGAGUCUUUCUUUCACUAGCAGAUGUGACCUUGUCCAGGUUCUGCAGUAAUUUAAACGUACUGACGGUGUCAUCUCUGCUUGACCUUGGCAACAUGACCAAACAGCAAAUGUAAAUGCUAUCGGGUAAAGAUAUGGCGUUUGCCUCCUGCUACCAAAACCCACCCCCAUCCGAUUCCAACAGAGUGACCCUGGGCCGGAACCUAAUCCAAAAGAUUAUAAAGCUACAUCCUGACAGGUUGCCAUGGCAACCCCUUAACGUCAACUAUUCCAUGUCCCACGGCUGCAAGUCUCAUUUUGAGUCUACUCAUAUUCUACUAUUUCAUGUUAUAACCACCAACUAAAACGCAAUUUGAUAUGUCAGCAGCCAAACAUAAUACGAGAUGCCACUUGCUAUUACAGCCAAUAAUAAAAGGCUUCUAGUUGCUUCUGUUCCAAAAAUACAGCAAAUCACCGUAUAUUCUAAGUCUGGUUUUCAAAGAGAGGCUAUUUUGCCAGAUUUCCUCCAUUUUAACUAAUUAGUCCGUAUUUAAAGCGUCUUGGCGAUGAGGAGAAUUCUAGUGAAAGCCAGACAUUAUUAUUUUCUCAACAGGAGGAAAUACGCUGAUCUUCCAGCCUGCAGCAGACACAGGGUAUCCGAUCCGAAGUGGAGGUUUAUAAUAUAAGGCUUCUAAGGGCACAAACAAACAAGUGUGUCUUCUAAGAAUUUUGCCUCUUUAUCACUGAAGGAGAGGGAAAUACGUAUUAGGCUGGCCUCCAAAUAAUCAGAGCAUUCCGCUAUAAUCAGCAGUUCCUCCAAAUCCUCACGCUGUACCAGUCCUCCAGAGGAGGCUGCUCGCUUAGAUAUAACUGGGUUCAAACCCACCCCGGCAGAUAGAUGCCCCCCUUCAGGUGAUGCAGAGCAGAGAGGACCGUGAGGAGAGCCCCUUCGAGCAGUUCCCACCCUUGAAGGGAAAAAAAAAACAAAACCUAAAAUGCCCUCUUGUAAGUAUCAGAACUAAUUUAUUUUUCCUGUUUCUCGAUUAGCAGGAAAGUUAUUGGGAAGAUGUCUGUGAGGUAAACAAAAGGCCUAGGAUGACUGAGAGAUUAAGAUGCGAACACACACAAAGCACACAGUCAAUCUAUAAGAUGUACAGUAUUUUACACCAUGUACGGUGUUUAAUCCUAAAAUUAAGGGUAUUAUGAGAAGUGCACCCAAGGGCUUUAAGCCAACAACUUUAAACCAAUUCGAAUCGCUACAAUCUCUCUGCCAGUUUGCAUGCUGUCUUUCCAAAAUUUUAACAGACUUUUCUUUUUCCUUUGAAACCUGAAAAUCAGCCAGGCAUGAUGGCACAACCCUAUAAAGCCCAGCACUUGGGAGGCUAAUAUGGGAGUCUAUGAGCCUGAGACAGCUAUGGGGCCUCUAGCGUCUAGAGGUCAGCCUGGGCUGUAGAGGGAGACCCUACCUCUAAAA
rnacentral:sRNA from 1 species